rnacentral:lncRNA from 1 species
CAGGCGGGCAUGCCAGAGGGGCUCACGUCGGCGAGAAGAAACUUAUUACAUAUAACUAUCUACUAGCAUGUGACUAUGUGAGUAUAUAACAAGUAGGGAGAAUGCGAAAUCUAUAUAUACUCACAUAAAAUAUAAAUCACAUAUCUCAAGUAUUUUUUCAAAUGGUCAAAAUAUCACAAUACAUAUGUUAAAAUUGUAUUCGCAUUCAUAUAUACUACAUUCAUACUAUAGAGUACAACACACAUACUAUAGAGCACACAUACUAUAGAGUACAACAUUUCAAUUGUGGGUAUCUAGACUUACAAGUCUAAUACGGUAGAUAGUGUAUAUAUAAAUCUAUCUAUAAUCCUAUCUAUAAUCGUGAGUAUAACACUUCAGUAUAACUAUGUAGUCUAGCGUAUAUAUAAAUGCAAUAUCCA